UGGGCAACCUGCCCCUCUCUCUGGGAUAACCCCCGGGGAAACCGGAGCUAAUACCGGAUACUCCGGCUGGAUCGCAUGGUCCGGCCGGGAAAGGUCCGCCGGAGAGGGAUGGGCCCGCGGCUUAUCAGCUUGUUGGUGGGGUCAUGGCUCACCAAGGCGACGACGGGUAGCUGGUCUGAGAGGACACCAGCCACACUGGAACUGAGAUACGGUCCAGACCUCCGUACGGGAGCA
rnacentral:rRNA from 1 species